UGCCAGCCGCCGCGGUAAUACGGAGGGUGCGAACGUUAAUCGGAAUUACUGGGCGUAAAGCGCGCGUAGGUGGUUUGUUAAGUGGGAUGUGAAAGCCCCGGGCUUAACCUGGGAACUGCAUUCCAAACUGGCAAACUAGAGUAUGGUAGAGGGUGGUAGAAUUUCCUGUGUAGCGGUGAAAUGCGUAGAUAUAGGAAGGAAUACCGAUGGCGAAGGCAGCCACCUGGACCAAUACUGACACUGAGGUGCGAAAGCGUAGGGAGCAAACAGGAUUAGAUA
rnacentral:rRNA from 1 species